AAAAAGGUAAGCUACAAAGAGCGAAUGGUGGAUGCCUUGGGUAGUAAAGGCGAUGAAGGACGUACUAGACUGCGAUAAGCUAUGGAGAGCUGUCAAGAAGCUUUGACCCAUAGAUUUCCGAAUGGGGCAACCCAAUGUAUAGAGAUAUACAUUACCAUAAUGGAGCGAACGAGGGGAAUUGAAACAUCUUAGUACCCUCAGGAAAAGAAAUCAAUAGAGAUUAUGUCAGUAGCGGCGAGCGAAAGCGUAAGAGGGCAAACCUAGUGCUUGCACUAGGGGUUGUAGGACUGCAAUAUGCACGAACUAAGCUUAGCAGAAUAUUCUGGAAAGUUUAAUCAUAGAGGGUGAUAAUCCCGUAUGCGAAAAGCAAAGUUUAGCUAGCAGUAUCCUGAGUAGGGCGAAACACGUGAAAUUUUGUCUGAAUCCGGGUCGACCACGAUCCAACCCUAAAUACUCAUACUACACCGAUAGCGAACAAGUACCGUGAGGGAAAGGUGAAAAGAACGGCGGUGAGCCGAGUGAAAUAGAACCUGAAACCAUUUGCUUACAAUCAUUCAGAGCCCUAUGGAGCAAUCCAGGGUGAUGGACUGCCUUUUGCAUAAUGAGCCUGCGAGUUGUGGUGUCUGGCAAGGUUAAGCACACGCGAAGCCGUAGCGAAAGCGAGUCUUAAAAGGGCGCUUAAGUCAGAUGCUGCAGACCCGAAACGAAGUGAUCUAUCCAUGAGCAGCUUGAAGCUAGUGUAAGAACUAGUGGAGGAGCGAACCCGCUAGCGUUGAAAAGCUAUGGGAUGACUUGUGGAUAGGGGUGAAAGGCCAAUCAAACUUCGUGAUAGCUGGUUCUCUCCGAAAUAUAUUUAGGUAUAGCGUUGUGUCGUAACUAAAGGGGGUAGAGCACUGAAUGGGCUAGGGCAUACACCAAUGUACCAAACCCUAUCAAACUCCGAAUACCUUUAGUGUAAUCACAGCAGUCAGGCGGCGAGUGAUAAAAUCCGUCGUCAAGAGGGAAACAACCCAGACUAACAGCUAAGGUCCCCAAAUCUCAUUUAAGUGGAAAACGAUGUGAAGUUACUUAAACAACCAGGAGGUUGGCUUAGAAGCAGCCAUCCUUUAAAGAAAGCGUAAUAGCUCACUGGUCUAGUGAUUUUGCGCGGAAAAUAUAACGGGGCUAAAAUGAGUACCGAAGCUUUAGACUUGCACCUAGUGCAAGUGGUAGGAGAGCGUUCUAUUUGCGUUGAAGGUAUACCGGUAAGGAGUGCUGGAGCGAAUAGAAGUGAGCAUGCAGGCAUGAGUAGCGAUAAAAGGGGUGAGAAUCCCCUUCGCCGUAAACCCAAGGUUUCCUACGCGAUGCUCGUCAUCGUAGGGUUAGUCGGGUCCUAAGUCGAGUCCGAAAGGGGUAGACGAUGGCAAAUUGGUUAAUAUUCCAAUACCAACAUUAAUGUGCGAUGGAAGGACGCUUAGGGCUAAGCAAGCUAGCGGAUGGAAGUGCUAGUCUAAGGUCGUAGGUGCUUAUACAGGAAAAUCCGUAUAAGAAUACACCGAGAGCUGAAAGGCUUCUCAAAGUCUUCGGAUAGCGAGGAGAAUUGCUGAUGCCGUCGAGCCAAGAAAAGUUUCUAAGUUUAGUUAAUGUUGCCCGUACCGUAAACCGACACAGGUGGGUGGGAUGAGUAUUCUAAGGCGCGUGGAAGAACUCUCUUUAAGGAACUCUGCAAAAUAGCACCGUAUCUUCGGUAUAAGGUGUGGUUAGCCUCGUAUUAGGAUUUACUUCGAAAGCGAGGAAACUUACAACAAAGAGUCCCUCCCGACUGUUUACCAAAAACACAGCACUCUGCUAACUCGUAAGAGGAUGUAUAGGGUGUGACGCCUGCCCGGUGCUCGAAGGUUAAUUGAUGGGGUUAGCAUUAGCGAAGCUCUUGAUCGAAGCCCGAGUAAACGGCGGCCGUAACUAUAACGGUCCUAAGGUAGCGAAAUUCCUUGUCGGUUAAAUACCGACCUGCAUGAAUGGCGUAACGAGAUGGGAGCUGUCUCAAAGAGGGAUCCAGUGAAAUUGUAGUGGAGGUGAAAAUUCCUCCUACCCGCGGCAAGACGGAAAGACCCCGUGGACCUUUACUACAGCUUGACACUGCUACUUGGAUAAGAAUGUGCAGGAUAGGUGGGAGGCUUUGAUUCAUAGACGCCAGUUUAUGAUGAGCCAUUGUUGAGAUACCACUCUUUCUUAUUUGGGUAGCUAACCAGCUUGAGUUAUCCUCAAGUGGGACAAUGUCUGGUGGGUAGUUUGACUGGGGCGGUCGCCUCCCAAAUAAUAACGGAGGCUUACAAAGGUUGGCUCAAGAUGGUUGGAAAUCAUCUGUAGAGUAUAAAGGUAUAAGCCAGCUUAACUGCAAGACAUACAAGUCAAGCAGAGACGAAAGUCGGUCUUAGUGAUCCGGUGGUUCUGUGUGGAAGGGCCAUCGCUCAAAGGAUAAAAGGUACCCCGGGGAUAACAGGCUGAUCUCCCCCAAGAGCUCACAUCGACGGGGAGGUUUGGCACCUCGAUGUCGGCUCAUCGCAUCCUGGGGCUGGAGCAGGUCCCAAGGGUAUGGCUGUUCGCCAUUUAAAGCGGUACGCGAGCUGGGUUCAGAACGUCGUGAGACAGUUCGGUCCCUAUCUGCCGUGGGCGUAAGAAGAUUGAAGAGAUUUGACCCUAGUACGAGAGGACCGGGUUGAACAAACCACUGGUGUAGCUGUUGUUCUGCCAAGAGCAUCGCAGCGUAGCUAAGUUUGGAAAGGAUAAACGCUGAAAGCAUCUAAGCGUGAAGCCAACUCUAAGAUGAAUCUUCUCUAAGCUCUCUAGUAGACUACUAGUUUGAUAGGCUGGGUGUGUAAGAAAUGAAAGUUUCUUAGCUGACCAGUACUAAUAGAGCGUUUGGCUUAUCUUAUUUAAGCAUCACUUC
rnacentral:rRNA from 1 species